rnacentral:rRNA from 1 species
GCAGGCUGAAAUUCGCCUGUAUGAAGCCGGAAUUGCUAGUAAUGGCAGGUCAGCAUACUGCCGUGAAUACGUUCCCGGGCCUUGUACACACCGCCCGUCACACCAUGAGAGUUGGGGAUACCCAAAGCCCGUGAGCCAACUAUAAAGAGGCAGCGGUCUAAGGUAGAAUCAAUGAUUGGGGUGAAGUCGUAACAAGGUAAC